CCUACGGGAGGCAGCAGUGAGGAAUAUUGGUCAAUGGACGAGAGUCUGAACCAGCCAAGCAGCGUGAAGGAUGACUGUCCUAUGGUUUGUAAACUUCUUUUAUCAAGGAAUAAAACGAGGCACGUGUGCCUUUUUGCAUGUACUUUAUGACUAAGGAUCGGCUAACUCCGUUCCAGCAGCCGCGGUAAUACGGAGGAUCCGAGCGUUAUCCGGAUUUAUUGGGUUUAAAGGGAGCGUAGAUGGGUUGUUAAGUCAGUUGUGAAAGUUUGGGGCUCAACCGUAGAAGUGCAAUUGAUACUGGCAGUCUUGAGUACAGUUGAGGUAGGCGGAAUUCGUGGUGUAGCGGUGAAAUGCUUAGAUAUCACGAAGAACCCCGAUUGCGAAGGCAGCUUACUAGACUGUGACUGACAUUGAUGCUCGAAAGUGUGGGUAUCAAACAGGAUUAGAUACCCGAGUAGUC
rnacentral:rRNA from 1 species